rnacentral:rRNA from 1 species
GAUGAACGCUGGCGGCGUGCCUAAUACAUGCAAGUAGAACGCUGAAGGAAGGAGCUUGCUCUUUCCGGAUGAGUUGCGAACGGGUGAGUAACGCGUAGGUAACCUGCCUGGUAGCGGGGGAUAACUAUUGGAAACGAUAGCUAAUACCGCAUAACAGUAGAUGUUGCAUGAUAUCUACUUAAAAGGUGCAAUUGCACCACUACCAGAUGGACCUGCGUUGUAUUAGCUAGUUGGUGAGGUAACGGCUCACCAAGGCGACGAUACAUAGCCGACCUGAGAGGGUGAUCGGCCACACUGGGACUGGGACACGGCCCAGACUCCUACGGGAGGCAGCAGUAGGGAAUCUUCGGCAAUGGACGGAAGUCUGACCGAGCAACGCCGCGUGAGUGAAGAAGGUUUUCGGAUCGUAAAGCUCUGUUGUAAGAGAAGAACGAGUGUGAGAGUGGAAAGUUCACACUGUGACGGUAUCUUACCAGAAAGGGACGGCUAACUACGUG